rnacentral:lncRNA from 1 species
AGAGACUAACGCCAAUGAUGGAGAUCUGGCUGGUGAGGAAUCAUUUGUUUUGGAGUCGGAGCCAAGACUGAAUUCCCGGGGAUUUCUGGCGCGAUCGCGUCCAAGUGUCUGGUGUGUAAGGCUCUUCAGUCUGCCCUGAAGCUCAGAGGGCUUCGACAGUACAGAUGCUAGAGGCCUCUGCGAGCAAAGGCGGCGCUGGCCCAGGGGUUCAGGUUCCUGCGAGCGUUGGCCCAUGGCGCUUCCGGAUGCGCUGUCCGGAUCCCCGCCGGACACUUCUGCCCCCGCGGCCCUCUAGUUGGUUCACCAGUUUGCGUUUGAUUCCUGCGCAUUUCUUAUGUGUUAGGCAUAAUAAUAAAGGGUGGGGCAAGCCUCCCCAACUGAGAGAGAUCUCUUUGCCGGAGAACCUGGGGCCUCAACCAGCUCAUGGGACUGUUACCUUCAGCCCGUUGCUAUCCCUAGCUUCUGUAAAACUGCUGGCUUGUACUAAGACCUUUUCAUUCCUGGCUACACAUGAAUUCCCAGAGGAGAGAAUGGGCGCGGAGGAGCUUUAGAAACACCCGUGUCUGAUACCUUCGAAGAUUCUGAUUUAACUGAUCUGUGGUGGGGCCUGGGCAAUGGCACUUGUAUAAAUUAUGCAGGUGAAGCAGGUUUAAGAACCACUGCACUCAAUGAUUUGGAUGAUAGGUACUAUUUAGCAUCUAGAACUGUUAGUCUGAUGUAUGUUUUACACGCUCGAUCAUCCCCUCAAUAGACCCAGGAGCUAAGCGUCAUUAUGCCCUUUUUACCUCAGAAGUGGCUUGCCCAAAUUUGCAGUCUGUAAGUGGUGUUGCAGACCAGCUGCAGGGCCAAGUGCUUUCCUCCAUCUUUCCCAAGAGAGGAAGACGCUAAUGCGCUCAGUAAAACUAACACGCUCUGUAAGGGGUGAAGCUCCACACAACUCAGGCUUAUUCUGGUUUCUGUCAGUAGCGCUCACUUUACCCAGCAAGGAACUGCUUAUUUUACACACUUGACCCUGAAUUCCCCUUGCCACUCACACCUGAGUUUGAACUGCAGCUAAGUAGCCCAGGCAGAGGCUGCCCUGUUUCCACAGUCUUGGUGUGGCUUUAUUUCCUUCUUCCAUGCCUUUGCCCAAUGAUCUUUGCUAUGGCCCUGAAGGCACUGCCUCCCUGGCCUAUAUGGCCCUGUAGCUUUGAAAAGCCUGAAUUCAGGCUGGACAUGGUGGCUCACGCCUGCAAUCCCAGCACUAAAGGCAAGAGAAUUGCUUGAGCCCAGGAGUUCGAGACCAGCCUCGGCAACAUAGACCCCGUCGAAAGAGGGAGGGAGAGAAGACACAGGAGAGACCCCGUCGAAAAAGGAAGGAAGGGAGGGAGGGAGAUGGGAAUACCAAGGAGUGCUUUAAGGUCCCCAUCUCUUGCUGUCACUUCCCCCAUCUGCAGUCUGAUGUAAAGCUUGAGGUAGAUAGAAUGUGGAAAGAGAAAUUGAGGAGUGGGAAGUGUUCAGAGGGGAAACCAUUUAUCUGAAGGUGAGAGCCUUAUGAAAAAUUUUUUGGGCCAGGCGCGGUGGCUCAUGCCUGCAAUUCUAGCACUUCGGAAGGCCGAGGCAGGUGGAUCACCUGAGGUGAAGAGUUCAAGACCAGCUUGGCCAACAUGGUGAAACCUUGUCUCUACUAAAAAUACAAAAAUUAGCCAGGUGUGAUGGUGGGCACCUGUAAUCCCAGCUACUUGGGAGGCUGAGGCAGGAGAAUUGCUUGAACCCAGGAGGUGGAGUUUGCAGUGAGCUGAGAUAGUGCCAUUGCACUCCAGCCUGAGCAACAGAGCAAAAACUCUGUCUCAAAAAAAAAAAAAAAAAAUUGGUGAAGUGCUUUCUUCUUUGUCAUCGCAUCUACAGUCUCAUUGGUCCUCUAAGCAUCCCCAAGAUGACAGAAAAAUAAUAGAUUUCAUUCUCAGAGAAACAGGCUCAGAUGGGGAGGACUGGUUCAAGGGUCUGCUUUGGGGGCCAUUGUGUUCUUGCAUCCACACUCCCUGUCUGUGUCGGGCUGGAUCAAGUAGGGAAGGGAGAGGAAGGAGCCAUCUCCCAGGGGUGGAGUCCUUUGGGUGAUGGGCUUUUUAAGCAGCCCUAGGGGUAGAGACAGAUGGGAUUAACCAACCUGGGGACCUUCACACACAGAUACCAGCUUUUAAUCAAACAGCAGUUUUUACUGAGCUCCAGGUGGGGCUGGCCCAGCAUGGCCAGUACAGCAGGCUGCCCUCAAGGGCCAGUCUGUGGCAUGACAGGAAAUGCAGGGGUGCACAUGUUGGGGCUGCCCUUUGGCACUCACUGGGGUGGGUCAAGGGAGAGCAAACACCAAGGUCCUCUGGAGACCAGAAUCGGCCAGUGCAGCCAUUUGGCUUCUCCUUCAGGACCAGCUGGGUCAGUUCCCAGGCCCUGAGGCAAUGCCUGCAUCCUGGGUCCGUGGGGCACUACUGCUGUCACUGCUCUGAGGGAGAAAGACGACCAGCAGCACAAUCAGGAUGAUGAGCAGGACACCAACCACCACCAGCCCCACGCAGAUCCGGUAACGGAUGUUCUCCCAGCACUUCUUCUGGGCCAGGUUCUGUGUAGUCUUGUUGAAGGUUGAGCUCUGCGGAUACCCCCAGACACAAAGUGGGAGUUAGCUGGCACCCUCUUGGCCUGGGAGCCAGCUCCUCCCAACCCCAUCUCAGUAAGGCUUAGUCUCCUCCUGCAUCCUCCCCAUCUUGUCUACUUUCUUUCUUUUUUUUUUUUUUUUGAGAAGGAGUCUCUCCCUGUCACCCAGGCUGGAGUACAGUGGCACAAUCUCAGCUCACUGCAACCUCUGCCUCCCGGGUUCAAGCAAUUCUCCUGUCUCAGCCUCCCUAGUAGCUGGGACUACAGGUGCACACCACUGCGCCCGGCUAAUUUUUGUAUUUUUAGUUGAGAUGGGGUUUCACCAUACUGGCUAGGAUAGUCUUGAACUCCUGACCUUGUGAUCUGCCCACCUCGGCCUCCCAAAGUGUUGGGAUUACAGGCGUGAGACACCGCGCCCGGCCUUGUCUGCUCUCUUUCUAUACCACCUGCCGUGGAACCCUCCCAGCCUGACUCAUCUCAAACACCGGUGUGGCCCUUGACUUUCAGCCCUAGUGUCUCACCCUCAGUUAACAAUGCCAGUACUCAGGCUGGACACAGUGGCUCAUGCCUGUAAUCCCAGCACAUUGGAAAGCCAAGGUGGGAGGAUCUCUUGGAUCCAGGAGUUCAAGACCAGCCUGGGCAACAUGGUGAGACCUCAUCUCUACAAAAAAUCAAAAAUUAGACAGGCAUGGUGGUGCAGGCUUGUAGUCCUAGCUCUUCAGGAGGCUGAGGCAGGAGGAUCACUUAAGCCUGGGAGGUAGAGGCUGCAGCAAAUAUGAUUGUGCCACUGUACUAGCCUGGGCGACAGAGUGAGACUCUGUCUCAAAGUAAAAAAGAAACAAAAAACGAUACCAGUUUUCUACCUUUAAGAAGGUCCACAGCUUCAAACCAAGGCCUUCUUAUCUUGUGGGGUCUAUCUGUUGCAUGUCUAGGCUAUGGGUGCCUGAGGAAACCCAGAGGCCCCACACUGGCCCUCAAGAAGGCCUCAACCCCACCAAGGAACUGGAGAUCCUGAAUACAGCCCAAGAGAGACUUUCCCAAUCCUCUCCCCUCCCCUCCAUGCUCCCCCAGGCCUCACACCAUAUCCAGGAGUUGGUCUGAACGCUGCUGCAGUUCGGCCAGCUUCACACCACGCUCCAGGACCUUGCCGAAGUUGUUACGCAUAAUUUCCGUCACCUCGUUCGCCUGCUGCUGGCACCGCUCCAACUCUAUUCCUGCCUGGACACCAAGCCCGAGGUCAGGGCUGCAUGAGGCCCCCACCUGGCCCUCAUCUGCCCCUGAGAUCUAGAAGCCUCCUUCUCCCCCUGUAGGUGGGUACAGCAUGAGAGUAACAGCAUCCUUCGUGUAAGGGUAUGAUGUGUGCGGAGUGAAGGUCUGGCCUUCGGGGUGAGUGCGGCACACCUUAAGUCUCACAGGCUCCUCCCCUUGCACGUCAAGGCAGGGCCUAGGACCUAGGUAAGUCCCGGCUUCCAGCACCUCAGCUUCCUCUAAGCUGUCCCAAGGUGGGAUCUUCCCAGGACCCCACCCUCCCACAAAGCUGAUUCUUUUCUCACCUGCUCCAGAAUGGCGUCUACCCAAUCAAUGCACAGCUGCCCUAAGGUUUCCCACUGGCCUAAGAAGGCAGCAAAGAAUGGGUAACCAAGCUACCUGGCUGGAACACACAGGGAGGAGACCUACCCUACAGGCUAGAAAGGUAAUUUUGAAGCAGCACACAUCAUAGUCUCUGCCUAACCCCUCUAUCCCCAAACUGAGAAGCUCAGAUCUUCCUCUUUGGGCCUCUGACUGGUCAGGCCAGUUCUGCCUCCUGGCCUGAUCCUGCUCCCUAUAUCACUGCUCCAACUUCCCUCUCCGUCUGGGAACCUCAGUGGUACCGGUUUUUGGCCUCCAGCCUUCCACUCAGCUGGGGUCCUCACUGGGGUCCAACUUACAGAGAUGAGACUAACUCUUGGAUUUCCCAGCCUGGGGGGCAGCUUUGCCUAACAGAAAACACCAGCUCAUUUCAGAGGACUGGGAAGGGAGGUCUUGGAUCCAAGCUGGGGAAGGUUGAAAUGACAGGGGAGAGAGAAAGUCUGGGUCAUGUGCAAGAAAGGCACUGGGCUUUGGGUGCACGUAACAGAGAGAGACACCAGGCAGGAGGCCCUGGUAUAAGCCAGAAGCCUAGGAGCAGGGACAUUUCAGGGAGAUGAAUACCAGUGGAUUAGCAAACCACAGAAACUCCUUCCUCUUAGCCUACUUCCCCACAGCCCAUCCCUGUUCCCUUCCCCUCCUUACAAGAAGGGCAAGCUUCUUUUCCUGCCAGCCCACGUCACCCAUUGUCUACAACAGACAUUUUGGCACUUGACUGAAUUCCACUUAAAACCAGAAAACUUAAGUGUUAGAAGAGAUCUGGUGGUCACAGAGGGCUACCUCCCACUCAGCCAAGAAUCCUCCUUCAGGAUCCUUGCAGCUGCUUGGUAUACAGCCUCCAAGAAUUCCCACUGUAUGAGUCCUAUCUCCCCAGCUGGACCACAAACUCCCAGAGGGAGGGCAGGGAGCAGUGCCCUGCCUUUGUCCACCACCAUCCCACCGGGAGGCCAGCACAGUGCUGACCAUUGCAAGCAAGGAAUCAGUGAGUGGGCCAAUUACGAUACAGCCUAACCAAAAGCAAUUCUUAUUCUCAAGAGAUGUUCUCCCAGCAUGUUUUUCUAGCCCUGCAUGAGUUUCGAGGGGCAGGCAUUUGAAACCCAAAUAGGUCAAUAUUUACCCAUGAGCUAGAAAAGCAACCUGCUUCAAGAGAGGUCAGGCAAACCACUGUAGGGGAGGCUGCGCUCACAGGCUGGAGGAAGCAGUAAGCAGGAAACACAGAGGAACAACGAAGAGAGCAGGGAAACUGCACUCUCACCUUUUCCUGAGUCAACCGUCAUCACUAUUAUUACUACUAUAGCAUUCAACAAGGCUCCAUCAUUCAAUCCUUUGAACUUCCCCACAUUCAAAUACUCCAAGGCAGGCUGGGCGCAGUGGCUCACACCUGUAAUCCCAGCACUUUGGGAGCCCCAGGCAGGCAGAUCACUUGAGGCCAGGAGUUCGAGACCAGCCUGGCCAACAUGGUGAAACCCUGUCUCUACUAAAAAUACAAAAAUUAGCCAGGCAUGGUGGUGCAUGCCUGUAAUCCCAGCUACUUGGGAGGCUGAGAUGGGAGAAUCGCUUGAACCUGGGUGGCGGAGGUUGCAGUGAGCCGAGAUCACACCACUGCACUCCAGCCUGGGCAACAGAGCAAGACUCCAUCUCAGCAAACAAAACAAAACAAAAAACAAAAUUAAAUAGUCCAAAGCAAAAACUUGAGAAUGGAUAAAUACUCGAAAAUAAGAGUCACUGCUAGAGACUGGGAAAAUGCUGGAUAUUAUCUUUUUAUUUUCUAUUCUAAAUGCUACAGCUGUUGUUACCUUAUUUUUCAACAAGGGGUGAUAUUUGGGUCACAUUCUCCAAAGAGCUGGCUGUGCUUCCAGCUGUAAUCUGGACCAGUCUCCCCCAAUGCGAAGCCAGGCCUGCCUGGAGCCAAGAUGGACCCAGGCCUAAAAGAACACAUUCGCUCCAGGGAACACAGAGGCCUUAGACUCAAGUCUCGGGCCCUCCUUGGCCCCCACUCAACCAGAGGAAAAAGGACACUGACUAUAUACACAGGUCUCUGCUGGCACUGUGAGAAAUAAAGCUCCAGGGACCCUGGAAGGAGGUAAGCAAGAGGACAAGGGCCAUACUGCCUUACGCCACACUGUCACUCAGCAUAAUGUCUGCAGACAGCAGAGAUGUGAUAAACAGUUCCUGAAUAAAUGGUGCCUAUAUUUUUAAAGAUGGGGUCUUGCUAUGUUGCCCAGGAUGGUCUUGAACUCCUGGGCUCAAGCAGUCCUCCCACCUCAGCUUCCCAAAGUGC